GGGGGUAUAGCUCAGUUGGCUAGAGUACUUGCAUGGCAUGCAAGGGGUCAUGGGUUCGAAUCCCAUUAUCUCCAC
rnacentral:tRNA from 1 species